UGCUGCAGUAAAUUCUAGGUGCAUCAAUGUGCUGCAGGUUUAACAAAUCAAAUCUUAAAACCUGAAAGAAAAACUACAAAGAUUGAAUUAAAUAUUUAUCAAACGACUGGAGGGGAAAGAACAUUAUAAGUUUGGAAAUAAUAAAAAAAAAAUCAUAAAGGAAAACGGAAAGAUUAGACGCCGUAAAAAUUAAAAACUGAAGCCAUUUUGUAAAAUGCCAUGAACUGGAUAAAGAAGGAUCUUCUGUAGAUGCAUCAAUGUGGCUGGGGCAGCCACAGGGGCCUGUCCUUUGACUUGACCACGGGGCUGACGGCACGUCUGCCCCAGCCACAGAAUGAACCCCCAGCCAAGGUGAGGCCAGCGCCUGUCCAGCGGCUGUAGACGCCCCUGUCUCUCAUGGUCACUUGUGGACUCCUGUUUAGAGGGUGAAAUGCUGAGUGUCCGAAGUCCUCGGAGGUUCCAUCUGAGCAGAAGCCCUACUGGCUUGUGUUUCAUAAACAGACAAAGACCUUAAUCGUUGGGAACCUGGAGGGCUUCCUUCGCUGGAUGCUCACCAGGUCCCCGCUGUAUCAGUUUCCUGGGGGUGCUGUACCAAAUACCACAAACCUACGUCUUAAACAGGAGAAACCUAUUCUCUCACAGUCUGGAGCCCGAAGUCAUACCUUUUAUAAGCCAGAUAAGAUGUGUUGAUCAGUCUUUCCAGCGGGAGGUCUGAAAACUGAGCUCUAAGACCAUCCUACAAGGCCAUCUUGCUUAGGGAUACGUGUUAUUAAUUCAGCAAUUAAUUUUCUCUUUGCACUAAAUUCUUGUCCCCAUAGCCUUAAUAGGACUGAUUAUUCAUCAAUAUUAAAGUGGCAAAUUCAUUAUAUUCUAAUAAUCUGACAUCAAAUAUUAAACCUCAUUAUACGAUUGGCCGGGGAUUUAUGACCACAUUCGUUAACUCAGGACCUGAGAACAGCUGUGUUUGGAACGAGAGGUACCUUCUGAGCAGCAAACUUGGGCAGUUCCAUCACCGUGAGUUAGAGGGACACAGACAUGCACAUAUGCGCAGAUUCAUCCAGGCUCCAGGAGACUCUCCAUCAGCACCGUACAUCUCCUCGAUGAGCAGCAGAUCCUGAACGUAGUUUGGUCACGUGGAAUUCCUGCAGAGCAGCAGUGCCCUGACCCGCUCUAUGACCCGGAGGGCAGGAAGUGGUGAGCACCCGUGAACCCUAUUUGGUCAUAAUGCAUUAUUAUUACUAAGAAUACACCAAUUGAUACUAAUUUUAAAUAGAACUUUGCAU
rnacentral:lncRNA from 1 species